rnacentral:rRNA from 1 species
GUUUCAGCAGCCGCGGUAAUACGUAGGUGGCGAGCGUUAUCCGGAUUUACUGGGCGUAAAGCGCGCGCAGGCGGCUGGCCAAGUCUGAUGUGAAAGCUUCCGGCUCAACUGGAAAAUGGCAUCGGAAACUGGCCGGCUGGAAGGUGGGAGAGGGUAGCGGAAUUCCCGGUGUAGUGGUGGAAUGCGUAGAUAUCGGGAGGAACACCAGUGGCGAAAGCGGCUACCUGGCCCACUCUUGACGCUGAGGCGCGAAAGCUAGGGGAGCAAACGGGAUUAGAUACCCGGGUAGUCC